rfam:Bovine herpesvirus 1 strain Cooper, complete genome.
CCCCCGCGCGGGCAAAAAAUCCAAUGGCGGAUAAUCGAGAGCUAUUGUAUUUUUGCGCCAGCGGGGG